rnacentral:rRNA from 1 species
AGUGAACGCUGACGGUAGGCCUAACACAUGCAAGUCGAACGGCAGCACAGUAAGAGCUUGCUCUUACGGGUGGCGAGUGGCGGACGGGUGAGGAAUACAUCGGAAUCUACUUUUUCGUGGGGGAUAACGUAGGGAAACUUACGCUAAUACCGCAUACGACCUACGGGUGAAAGCAGGGGACCUUCGGACCUUGCGCGAUUGAAUGAGCCGAUGUCGGAUUAGCUAGUUGGCGGGGUAAAGGCCCACCAAGGCGACGAUCCGUAGCUGGUCUGAGAGGAUGAUCAGCCACACUGGAACUGAGACACGGUCCAGACUCCUACGGGAGGCAGCAGUGGGGAAUAUUGGACAAUGGGCGCAAGCCUGAUCCAGCCAUACCGCGUGGGUGAAGAAGGCCUUCGGGUUGUAAAGCCCUUUUGUUGGGAAAGAAAAGCAGCAGGUUAAUACCCCGCUGUUCUGACGGUACCCAAAGAAUAAGCACCGGCUAACUUCGUG